GCGCCGGUGGUGCAUGGUGCGCGCCGCCAUUAAAUUCAAAAAUAUCCAAUUCGUUUCAGGCGGAUCGGGGUUCGAUUCCCUGCCGGUGCA